GAGAUAGCUCAGUCGGUAGAGCAAGUGACUGUUAAUCACUGGGUCGCAGGUUCGAGCCCUGUUCUC
rnacentral:tRNA from 1 species